AUAUGAACUACGAGCGUUAAACU
rnacentral:siRNA from 1 species